rnacentral:rRNA from 1 species
CCCUUAGAUGUCCUGGGCUGCACGCGCGCUACACUGAUGUGUCCAGUAAGCGCCUAACCUCUUCCGAAAGGAACGGGUAACCUUUGCAAAGCACAUCGUGAUGGGGAUAGAUUAUUGCAAUUAUUAGUCUUGAACGAGGAAUUCCUAGUAAGCACAAGUCAUCAGCUUGUGUUGAUUACGUCCCUGCCCUUUGUACACACCGCCCGUCGCUCCUACCGAUUGAAUGUUCCGGUGAGCUCUUCGGACUGCGCGGUCUGCAGUUUCUGCGUUCCGUGCGGAAAGUUGCGCAAACCUUAACAUUUAGAGGAAGGAGAAGUCGUAACA